UGAGGAAUAUUGGUCAAUGGGCGUAAGCCUGAACCAGCCAAGUCGCGUGAAGGAUGAAGGUUCUAUGGAUCGUAAACUUCUUUUAUAGGGGAAUAAAGUGCACCACGAGUGGUGUUUUGUAUGUACCCUAGGAAUAAGCAUCGGCUAACUCCGUGCCAGCAGCCGCGGUAAUACGUAGGGUGCGAGCGUUAAUCGGAAUCACUGGGCGUAAAGCGCUCGUAGGCUGUUUGUUAAGUCAGAGGUGAAAUCCCACGGCUCAACCGUGGAACUGCCUUUGAUACUGGCAGACUAGAAUCCGGGAGAGGGUGGCGGAAUUCCAGGUGUAGGAGUGAAAUGCGUAGAUAUCGAGAGGAACACUCGUGGCGAAGGCGGGUUCCUGGACAUUAACUGACGCUGAGGUACGAAGGCCAGGGUAACGAAAG
rnacentral:rRNA from 1 species